GGUUACAUAUUGUAGUAUCAUGUGGUAGGCACCCAACAACCCCGUUACUUGUCCCGGGACGACAAAAUUUCUUAUUGCUAUGCUUGAGUAGACGGGAUUCUGGUUGAGAGUUUAUCACGAGUGAUGCGAGAAUAAUUUAAUAACCAAGACCGGUUAAGUCAAGACUUUUCAAGACCUCGUGAUGCAAUGCAACUCUGGGUGAAGGACGGUUGAUCGGCUCCCUGGAGAAACCAGUGGAUGACCCGGGAUACUGGAGACGGCCAUGACAUCUUGCGGAAAGAUUCACCCAGGCUAAAAGAGACGGACGGAUAUAUUCAAGACCCAAGGCUUACCUGCACAACCACAAGUCAUUAUGGGCUCUGGCUUGGUUUGACAAUGCGGCGACUCUGGACAGGCGGUGCUAGCAGAUGUAGAAGAACGGUAGGAUUGGAUGGGCACCGACAGGGAUUCAGAGGGACCCGUUGAAAGACCAUGUUUUUAUCAUCCGGUCUUCAAACACCCUGAAGUGCGAGGACAUACACGGAGGCGAUCAAAUCUUGUGGGGAACGUAUGCAAAACUCUGCAGAGUACUCAAACCUAAUCGAUUAGCCGUGUCCACGGUCAUGGACAACUUGAGCCAAAGGAACUGAAGUUAUCUGAAAUUCUCAACACAAAUAAUAAUAUUGAUGUGGGAAUUAUUGACAACCCGGGUACGAGAACUGGUUGGCGGAACCAUCUCGUUAACAACCAACAAUGUAGUAACAUUUUGCUUUUAGCCCUCUCU
rnacentral:lncRNA from 1 species